rnacentral:rRNA from 1 species
AGACAGCAGUCGCCGCGGGAAUACGGAGGGGGCUAGCGUUGUUCGGAAUUACUGGGCGUAAAGCGCACGUAGGCGGCUUGGUAAGUUAGAGGUGAAAGUCCGGAGCUCAACUCCGGAACUGCCUUUGAUACUGCAUCGCUUGAAUCCAGGAGAGGUGAGUGGAAUUCCGAGUGUAGAGGUGAAAUUCGUAGAUAUUCGGAAGAACACCAGUGGCGAAGGCGGCUCACUGGACUGGUAUUGACGCUGAGGUGCGAAAGCGUGGGGUGCAAACAGGAUUAGAUACCCCCGUAGUCCCUGUCUCUUAUAC